rnacentral:rRNA from 1 species
UACAGAGGUCCCAAGCGUUGUUCGGAUUCAUUGGGCGUAAAGGGUGCGUAGGUGGCGCCGUAAGUGGGGUGUGAAAUCCCGGGGCUUAACCCCGGGACUGCAUUCCAUACUGCGGUGCUUGAGGACUGGAGAGGAGACUGGAAUUUACGGUGUAGCAGUGAAAUGCGUAGAUAUCGAGAGGAACACCAGUGGCGAAGGCGAGUCCCUGGACAACUCCUGACGCUGAGGCACGAAAGCUAGGGGAGCAAACAGG